CCUGGCGGCGAUAGCGCGGUGGUCCCACCUGACCCCAUGCCGAACUCAGAAGUGAAACGCCGUAGCGCCGAUGGUAGUGUGGGGCCUCCCCAUGUGAGAGUAGGGAACUGCCAGGC
rnacentral:rRNA from 1 species